rnacentral:rRNA from 1 species
UGGCGACCGGCGCGCGGGUGAGUAACACGUAUCCAACCUGCCGAUGACUCGGGGAUAGCCUUUCGAAAGAAAGAUUAAUACCCGAUGGCAUAGUUCUUCCGCAUGGUGGAACUAUUAAAGAAUUUCGGUCAUCGAUGGGGAUGCGUUCCAUUAGGUUGUUGGCGGGGUAACAGCCCACCAAGCCUUCGAUGGAUAGGGGUUCUGAGAGGAAGGUCCCCCACAUUGGAACUGAGACACGGCCCAGACUCCUACGGGAGGCAGCAUG